UACGGAGGGGGCUAGCGUUAUUCGGAAUUACUGGGCGUAAAGCGCACGUAGGCGGAUUGAAAAGUCAGAGGUGAAAUCCCAGAGCUCAACUUUGGAACUGCCUUUGAAACUCUCAGUCUUGAGGUCGAGAGAGGUGAGUGGAAUUCCGAGUGUAGAGGUGAAAUUCGUAGAUAUUCGGAGGAACACCAGUGGCGAAGGCGGCUCACUGGCUCGAUACUGACGCUGAGGUGCGAAAGCGUGGGGAGCAAACAGG
rnacentral:rRNA from 1 species